GUUUCCUUGCUAGGAUUGGCUUUGGAGAGGUUUUGUGCUGAUGUUUCCUUGCCGUUGGCUUUGGCGAGGGUUUGUUUUUGGUGUUUGAACCUUUGUUUAGGUGUUUCUGAAUUUGGUGUAGUACUGUUACUUUGCGUUUGAGCCUGAUGGAUCGCUAGACCUGUCGUAGUCUUCUAAGGAGAAUCUCAUCAAGGGGGAAUGUUGG
rnacentral:misc_RNA from 1 species